rnacentral:rRNA from 1 species
UACAGACGACUGCAAGCGUUAUUGCGGAAGUUCACUGGGCGUAAAGGGUGCGCAGGCGGCCAAGUGUGUCAGGUGUGAAAUCCCGAGACUUAACCUCGGAACUGCGCCUGAAACGUAGCUUGGCUAGAGUACUGGAGAGGGUAACGGAAUUCACGGUGUAGCAGUGAAAUGCGUAGAUAUCGUGAGGAACACCAGAGGCGAAGGCGGUUACCUGGACAGUUACUGACGCUCAGGCACGAAAGCCGUGGGAGCAAAAGG